CAAGGUAGAGCCCCUUCCCUGUAGGCAAAGGAAUAAAAUCGCAACUCUUAUUUGCCUCAAAUUCUUUAGCCAUAGCCUCCUACCAACCUGGGUGAAGUGAUACUUAAGAGUAGAAUAUUGGCUCAGAUAUAUAUGAAAUAGAUUUGAGCAUGAUUUGAUUUGUGGGAGAAAGAGCACAAAAAGGCAAUACAAUUGAUUUAAUAGGUGCAAAGAAACAAGAAUCAGUAAGGUUAGUAAGAAAAACAUAAUUGCAUACAUAAUUAUUAAGAUAAACAUGGGGUCUUAUUUGUUCUGAUAAAUUUUCUGAUUUCAGGUAACAGAAGACAAACAAUAUUCAGAAGAGGUGAAUGAGAAUGAGUAAUUGAGAUAUGUGACGUAGGAUAGAUAAGAGAACUUCUAGCAAAUGGUAUUGGUGACUGGGAGUAGAUAGUUGAAAGUGGUGAAUAAGAACCAUGCAUGGUGAACCCCUAGCAAUAGAGUCAUGGUUGGAAAAAGUGGUAGUAGGUGAAGAAGGAAACUCAGAAAUAGGAACUCCAUGCUGAGAAGGCAAUGUAGGAAAAAGAGGUUGAUUUCUCACUUUAGAAAAAAAAGGAAAAAUGAAUUCAUGAAAUUUAACAUCACUAGAAACAAAAAGUUUCAUGUUUUGUAAAUUUAAAAACUUGUAACCCUUCUUCCCAAAAGAAUAUAAAGACACAAGGGACUGACCUUGGGUCAAGUUUACUUAUGUGAUGUGGUAAAGUGCUAGCAUAGACAAGGCAACCAAAACUCUUAAGAGAGUGAUACUGUAACACCCAGGAAAAUUUUGAAGAAUUUAAGUGUAAAGUCCGGUAAAAUUUGCAAAGAAAAUAUUGUUUCAUGGUGCCGGACCUUUUGGGUUGAACAAUGCACGGAAAAGUAAAGAAAUAUUUUUGGCGGAAAAGUGUAUUUCUACGGUCCAUUAUGCGACCGCAGAAUCACUCUGCGGACCGCAUAAUGGCCGCAAAGUGAGGCAGUUAAUUGGGUCAGUUGAAAGCAAUUAUGCGGUCGACUAUGCGACCGCAUAACUGUUAUGCGAUGUACUAUGCGACCGCAGAACAGUUAUGUGGACCGCAUAGUGACCGCAGACUCAGGCAGAUUUUUGGUCAUUUUGGACACCAAUUAUGCGACCGAUAUGCGGUCGCAUAUGCAACCGCAGAACCUGUUCCGGAGCUUCAUUUUUGAAUUUUUAAAACCCGACCCUAUUU
rnacentral:lncRNA from 1 species